rnacentral:misc_RNA from 1 species
GAUGAAGAACGUAGCGAAAUGCGAUAAGUAAUGUGAAUUGCAGAAUUCAGUGAAUCAUCGAAUCUUUGAACGCACAUUGCGCCCGCCAGCACUCUGGCGGGCAUGCCUGUUCGAGCGUCAUUUCAACCAUCAAGCCCCCAGGGGCUUGUGCUGGGGCCCUGCGGCUGCCCGCAGGCCCUGAAAACCAGUGGCGGGCUCGCUAGUCACACCGAGCGCAGUAGCACAUCUCGCUCAGGGCGGGCGGCGGGCUCCUGCCGUGAAACCCCCCACUGUAACCCCAAAGGUUGACCUCGGAUCAGGUAGGAAUACCCGCUGAACUUAAGCAUAUCAAUAAGCGGAGGA